UGAAUCAGAAUGCUUGAGGUGACAGA
rnacentral:piRNA from 1 species